AAGAGAGAGAGAGAGAGAGAGAGAGAGAGAGAGAGAGAGAGAGAGAGAAAGAAGACAUGAAAUUGGAUGGAUGGGAAGAAUGAGGGAAACAGGAAAGGCAAUGAAGACAUAGCACCAUGAAGAGGCAAGACCAUGAAGAGGCUACUAUGAAAUGAGAAUAUUCCUCUGACCCCUGCAUUCACAAGCCACUCACUGCAUUCAUUCUAGGCAAGAGGC